AGCGAACGCUGGCGGCAGGCUUAACACAUGCAAGUCGAGCGGACCUUUCGGGGUUUGCGGCGGUCGUGUGAGUAACACGUGGGAACGUGCCCUUCGGUUCGGAAUAACUGUCGGAAACAUGGGCUAAUACCGGAUACGCUCAUACGGGGUAAGGUUUACUGCUGGAAGAUCGGGGCGCGUCAGAUUAGCUAGUUGGUGGGGUAACGGCAUGUCAAGGCGACGAUCAGUAGCUGGUCGGAGAGGAGGAUAAUCCACGCUGGGACUGCGACACGGACCAGACUCCUACGGAGGGCAGCAGUAGGGAGUAUUAGGCGAUGAGCGCAAGCGUGGUACAGCCAUGCCGGGGGAGUGGUGAAGGCCUUAGGAUUGUAAAGCUGUUUUAUCCGGGACGAUAAUGACGGUACCGGGGAAAGAAGCCCCGGCUAACUUCGUG
rnacentral:rRNA from 1 species